AACGAACGCUGGCGGCAUGCCUAACACAUGCAAGUCGAACGCGACCUUCGGGUCUAGUGGCGCACGGAAGCGUAACGCGUGAGAAACUGCCAUUAGGUUCGGCCUACCUCCCCGAAAGGGGUGCUAAUACCGGAUAAUGUCUUCGGACCAAAGAUUUAUCGCCAUUGGAUGGGCCCGCGUUGGAUUAGCUAGUUGGUAGGGUAAAAGCCUACCAAGGAGAAGAUCCAUAGCUGGUCUGAGAGGAUGAUCAGCCACACUGGGACUGAGACACGGCCCAGACUCCUACGGGAGGGAGGAGUGGGGAAUAGUGGACAGGGGGCGAAAGCCUGAUACAGCAAUGCCGCGUGAGUGGUGAAGGCCUGAGGGUUGUAAAGCUCUCUUACCCGGGAUGAUAAUGACAGUACCGGGAGAAUAAGCCCCGGCUAACUCCGUU
rnacentral:rRNA from 1 species